rnacentral:rRNA from 1 species
GACAGGGGAUGCGAGUGUUAUCCGGAAUUAUUGGGCGUAAAGCGUCUGCAGGUGGGGAUCUCAGUCUUUUGUUAAAUCUCUAGGCUUAACCUAGAAAAUGCAAAAGAAACUAGUUCUCUAGAGGAUGGAAGAGGGAAAGGGAAUUUCCAGUGGAGCGGUGAAAUGCGUAGAGAUUGGAAAGAACACCAAAAGCGAAAGCACUUUCCUGGGACAUACCUGACACUCAGAGACGAAAGCUAGGGGAG